rnacentral:tRNA from 1 species
GCCCUUGUAGUAUAGCCCAAUACACCGGUCUUGUAAACCAGAGACGGAGAAAAAUUCUUCCUAGGGCA